rnacentral:miRNA from 1 species
GAUGGGAUUGAGAGGGAAGAUGAGAAAGGAGAAUGGGAGGGAGGAGUAACAAAAGUGAAAACCAAAACUAAAAACUGAAAUCUAUUUGAAAUUGUUUUCACUUUUGUUUCUCCUCCCUCUCAUCCUCCCCACUCAUCCAUCCUCACUCCAUUCU